rnacentral:rRNA from 1 species
GAUGAACGCUGGCGGCGUGCCUAAUACAUGCAAGUCGAGCGAACAGAUGAGGAGCUUGCUCCUCUGACGUUAGCGGCGGACGGGUGAGUAACACGUGGAUAACCUACCUAUAAGACUGGGAUAACUUCAGGAAACCGGAGCUAAUACCGGAUAAUAUAUUGAACCGCAUGGUUCAAUAGUGAAAGACGGUUUUGCUGUCACUUCUAGAUGGAUCCGCGCCGCAUUAGCUAGUUGGUAAGGUAACGGCUUACCAAGGCAACGAUGCGUAGCCGACCUGAGAGGGUGAUCGGCCACACUGGAACUGAGACACGGUCCAGACUCCUACGGGAGGCAGCAGUAGGGAAUCGCCCGCAAUGGGCGAAAGCUUGACGGAGCAACGCCGCGUGAGUGAUGAAGGUCUUCGGAUCGUAAAACUCUGUUAUUAGGGAAGAACAAAUGUGUAAGUAACUAUGCACGUCUUGACGGUACCUAAUCAGAAAGCCACGGCUAACUACGUG